rnacentral:tRNA from 1 species
UUUAAUUAGUAUAAUUAGUACAUUUAAUUUCCAAUUAAAAAGUUUAAACUAAAUUAAACA